rfam:Triticum aestivum genome assembly, contig: Triticum_aestivum_CS42_TGACv1_scaffold_375302_5AL
CUUGUACUCCCUCCGUCCGAAAAUACUUGUCAUUGAAAUGGAUGUAUCUAGAUGUAUUUUAUUUCUAGACACAUCCAUUUUGAUGACAAGUAAUUCCGGACGGAGGGAGUACUUU